rnacentral:tRNA from 2 species
GGGGAGGUAACUCAGCUGGUAGAGUACUGGACUGAAAAUCCGGGUGUCCCUGGUUCGAAUCUAGCUCUCCCCCCA